rnacentral:rRNA from 1 species
CAGUCGCCGCGGGAAUACGAAGGGUGCAAGCGUUAAUCGGAAUUACUGGGCGUAAAGCGUGCGUAGGCGGUUUGUUAAGUCUGUUAUGAAAUCCCCGGGCUCAACCUGGGAAUGGCAAUGGAUACUGGCAAGCUAGAGUGUGUCAGAGGAUGGUGGAAUUCCCGGUGUAGCGGUGAAAUGCGUAGAGAUCGGGAGGACCAUCAGUGGCGAAGGCGGCCAUCUGGGACAACACUGACGCUGAGGCACGAAAGCGUGGGGAGCAAACAGGAUUAGAUACCCGGGUAGUCCCUGUCUCUUAUAC